rnacentral:rRNA from 1 species
GAUGAACGCUGGCGGCGUGCCUAAUACAUGCAAGUAGAACGCUGAAGGAGGAGCUUGCUCUUCUGGAUGAGUUGCGAACGGGUGAGUAACGCGUAGGUAACCUGCCUGGUAGCGGGGGAUAACUAUUGGAAACGAUAGCUAAUACCGCAUGACAACAGUUAUUGCAUGAUAACUGUUUAAAAGGGGCAACUGCUCCACUACCAGAUGGACCUGCGUUGUAUUAGCUAGUUGGUGAGGUAACGGCUCACCAAGGCGACGAUACAUAGCCGACCUGAGAGGGGGAGCGGGGAGAAUGGAGGUGAGACAGGGAAAAGACUGGAGCGGGAAGCAGGAGAAGGGAGUGGUGGGAAAUGGGCGUAAGGAUGGAAGAGCAAAGGAGCAGGAGUGAAGAAGGUGUGGGGGGGGUAAAGCUCUGGUGUGAGGGAAGAAAGGGAGAAAGGGGGGAAAAGUGACGGGGUGAAGGGAGAGGAAUAGAAAGGGAAGGCUAACUACGUG